rnacentral:rRNA from 1 species
GACGAACGCUGGCGGCGUGCUUAACACAUGCAAGUCGAACGGAAAGGCCCUGCGUUUGUGGGGUGCUCGAGUGGCGAACGGGUGAGUAACACGUGAGUAACCUGCCCUUGACUUUGGGAUAACUUCAGGAAACUGGGGCUAAUACCGGAUAGGAGCUCCUGCUGCAUGGUGGGGGUUGGAAAGUUUCGGCGGGUGGGGAUGGACUCGCGGCUUAUCAGCUUGUUGGUGGGGUAGUGGCUUACCAAGGCUUUGACGGGUAGCCGGCCUGAGAGGGUGACCGGCCACAUUGGGACUGAGAUACGGCCCAGACUCCUACGGGAGGCAGCAGUGGGGAAUAUUGCACAAUGGGCGGAAGCCUGAUGCAGCAACGCCGCGUGCGGGAUGACGGCCUUCGGGUUGUAAACCGCUUUCGCCUGUGACGAAGCGUGAGUGACGGUAAUGGGUAAAGAAGCACCGGCUAACUACGUG